rnacentral:rRNA from 1 species
UACGUAGGGGGCAAGCGUUGUCCGGAAUCAUUGGGCGUAAAGCGCGCGUAGGUGGCUUCGUAAGUCCGCUGUGAAAGUCAAAGGCUCAACCUUUGAAAGCCGGUGGAUACUGUGAAGCUAGAGUACGGAAGAGGCGAGUGGAAUUCCACGUGUAGCAGUGAAAUGCGUAGAUAUGUGGAGGAACACCGAUGGCGAAGGCAGCCCCCUGGUUAACACUGACGCUCAUGCACGAAAGCGUGGGGAGCAAACAGG